GCCUGGGUGGCUCAGUCGGUUGAGCGUCUGACUUGGGCUCAGGUCAUAAUCUCGCACUCUGAGUUCCAGCCCCGCCUCGGGCU
rnacentral:tRNA from 1 species